CUCAUCUGAGCAAGAAUAGCACUCGGCUGCAUUCAACACGCUUGGGAGCAUGAGGGUCAACACUUGCCUCUCAGCAAUUCAGAGGCCAAAAAUCUGCCAGGCACAGGAACAGAAGCCUAGGUCCACCCAAGAAAGCAAGAGCCAAGACCUUCUGAGGGUUGUUACCUUUGAAGUACAAAAUAAGAGUGCCAGCUGGAUGGACUCUGGUAGGGAGAUGUUAAUGGGGACAGGUAUGAUUAUCAAGACAGGAUACAUUUCACCAGCUUUUUGCUGUAAGGCUGCUAUAGAGGACCAUGUUUAAAGCUUUACUACAGACAAGGAAACAGCAUCAACCACACUCUGCAUCCAAAGAAGCCAAUCACUGCAUCGUCACCAGCAGUCACAGACAUGGCCAAGCUGUGGUAAGUCCAUGCUGGCUGUUUCUAAUCCUGUUAUUCAUUUGCUGGGAUUUGCUUUGCAACCUUCCCAGGGACAGAGGUUGGCUGACUGAUCUGUCUGUCCCUGGAUCAUUCUUCCUGCUCAUAUUGGUGAGGACUGUGAUAGUCUUUCCAGUCACCAGGAACCUCUCCAAUCUCCAAGACAUUUAAUGGUGAUGAAGUGGUCUCAUAAAGAUGCUGGAUACUUCCCUUCUUAUCCUGGGAAGCAGAUCUUCCUUUUCUCCUCUUCUACUCAUUUUCUGCCUCCAUUUUUUUAUUGUUUUCCUACGUAAAAUACUCUCCUGGGGACUUUUUCCUCCUGCAUCUCCACAGUUUCCCUCUCUGUAAUUUCCUUUUUUUUUUUUUAAAUUUAAUUUUAUUUUUUUUAUUUAUCCUCACACUGGGCACUACACUCAAAUAGCUGCUCUUCAAUACGACCCCUCUCCAAAGAACCAUAACAUGAGAAGAUGCUUAAACAAACAGGCACUCACCUCUGCACCAUUAACCUGGGCCUAUCUCCCCACAUCAUACUUCUUUUUUAAUGAAAAACUGCUGGCUGCCUCAAAAGAUAUUGUCUAAACAAGCACAGAACAGCUCCUUAGAGAGAUGAUCUCUCCAGUUUUAUACACUCCAAUUUAUUACUGCAUCAUAUUUCUAAGAAAAUAAUUUUUCUUAUACUUUUCUGCAAAGCACUCUUCUCACAGAUUAUUUUUAAACUUUCAUUACGAAAAUGAAAAAAUCUAUAAAACUUAAGUAGUAAAAUGAGAUGAUCCUGAUUUAGUAAUGUGAAGGGGUGUACCUAAACUAAGUGGAAUGCGAUCUGGAAUGUCUACCCAUGGUGAGAAGACUGAAAGAGAUCACAUAAAGACAGAAGAAGCAAAAAGAGGUUGAGAGGACGUGUGUGUUUUUAUAAGAUUGGGGAAACGCCACCAUCCCAGGGAGACAUCGGCUGAGCCAGCUGGGGGCUCACACCUUGCCCCUGGUUUGAAUGGAUGACAGGAUUUUUCUUAAGCUUCGUUGUUCUCAGGGUAAGUUUUGGGGAUUCACCCCCCUCCACACUAUUUUUGUAGCAUCUUCCCCUGCCCAUACUAGUGCACUGCACCCAGAAGCUGCCUGUAACCUUGGGAGGUGAAUUUGCCCCGUCACCAGCAGUGGUUUACAACCUUUUGCAGGCAAAUGUGCACCAAAGCCGAUCCCAGAAACAUCUCCGCUCUCCCCCCUUCUGGAAUGCAUUAAUUACGCAAGCAUCCAGACAGUUCCUCUGGUGUCCUUAUCUUAGGACAAAGCACAUUGCCCGCGAGAGGUGAGGAAAGGAGUGGGGGAGGACACAUGUGAAGACCCGACUAUCUUUCCUCACGGUCACGGGCGCUUAGGUAGGAAGUCGGCAUUAAAUCUUUCCUCACCUUUAAACCAGUUCAUCCCUUCAUUGUCUCCAGAUGCAGACACCUUUAUGUCUAGCCAGGAAAAAGAACUGGGGGUAUCAGGUAUCUGCACUUUUAAACGUUAUCAGCCACUUCCCUUAAUUUGUUUCAAUAAAUUGCUGAUGGAGGAAAAGAACAGGAUUUACCCGCAUACACAUAAAGAAUAUUUCUGCUACUACUUUUUUCAGAUCUCUGAAGAUUUGACUUUCUUCCCUCUCUCUCCCUCCAUCAUUUAUGUGAAAUCUUCCUUAUUUUUCCCUGCGUUGGCUUUGGUGUCUAAAGUCUAUUCCAUUUUUCAUUAAAACAGUGUUGUUUUUGCUCACCUGCUGGUUAUUUCUUUUAAGUUCCCUACUGCAGAGAAGAAAGUGACUUUCAUUUGGAACUAACUUCAGCACUGAGACAUCCAGGAGCUCCUAAUUGUUAGGAUCUACAACCCAGGUUUUUAGGUUUUCCUCCCACUUCAUCUAAAGACUUGCACCCUCCAAAAAGAAACUGCUUUUAUAUGGGAAUACAGCUCACUCAAAUGUCAUACUUCACUAUGCCACACCACUGAGAGCCCCUAGGUAAAUUAGAGACUGGAUUAGUGUGUAUCUACUGCCUUGUACUGAGAGAGCCAUAAACACAAGAGGUAAAGAACUGAGACAGAUUAUGUUUGGGUAGUGCCACCUUGGGUAUGACUUAGUCGUUAAUAAUGUUUCUAUUAAUUUUUUAGAAAUAUAUUAGAGUUUUCUUGUUGGCACAAAAAUUUUCCCACUUUGUGGGAGCAUUGGGCACCCACAACCCCUUCUCUCAUGGUGCCUCCAGGAGGAGGAAUGGAUCCUGUCAGUGAAUAACAGAGAAGCCUCUUUGCAAUGCAGCAAUGGUUGUGCGUGCAAGAGAUAAGUACUGCAAAAGGGUUUGUUAGGGUCCCUUCUCCUCAUUGGGAGGAGAGAGAGGAUGCAGGAGUGAGGAAAGGAUAAUGAUACUGAACUGCAGGGCUCCUGUGAAGGUACCACAUAUGCUCUUCUGCUGGGUAUAUUUCCUUGUUAUAGUCUCUUGGCCUGCUUUUCCCCAUGACAGUGGUCUGUGAGCUGUCACAGACCUUCUCCUUUGCUCAAGGAGAAGACCUCAGUUCCAGUUCCUCAGACUCCCUCACUGCUGCAGCACUGUGGGCAUGCACAUGCCCUCAUGCUGACCUCCUCCCGUGGCCUGUGUUUUGAUUUGCUCAUCUCUCCUGUGGCUCAUCUUCAUGUUGGGUGCUGCUGUGAGAGGUGCUGGACUUGAUGUCUUUGUAGAAGACAUUUCCUGGGAGACCAUACAGCUCCGUGACAUCACCACAGGGCACCAGGCAACAGAGCAUGGCAGCUUUGGGAUUGCCACAUGCUUUCCAAGUAAAUUCCUCUUCUAUUCAGCACCACCCACCAGGUAUGCAUUCACCCCUUCUCUUGCUCUGUUCUCCAAUAGGCCUUGUGUCCUCUCUUCCCUCCUGAGACUCACUGUUUUUUGAUGUGCUCCAGGUGAUCCCUAUAACUUUGGGGAUGCAAGGGCAGUAGGGUGGGUCCUGCCACCUGCAGUCACAGGGCAAAGACACCUGGAUCCCUGGAGAGAUCCAGUGUGCUGUGUAGUUGUAGCAGAGCACAGAGGAUAGUCAGCAAAGUGCUGGGAUGUCACGGUCAAUCAGGAGCUUAAUUACGGAUACACAGGAGGAAAUUGCCCAGAGAGGUUGUGGAUGCUCCAUGUUCAAGGCCAGGAUGGGUGGGCCCUGAGCAACCUGAUCUAGUGAGUGGCAUUCCUGCCCAUAGCAGGGGUUUAGAACUAGUUGAUCUUUAAGGUCCCCUCCAACCCAAAACAUUCUAUGAGUCUGUGAAGGACGUUGUUCUUCCACUGCUUUCUUUCCACAGAGUAAGUGCUGGAAAGCUGGAUGUAGCUCUUGUUCAGUGUGAUGCAAAGGCAGGGUAGGUAUAAGUGUGUUUUUAACAUCGUAAGAUAUUGCCAUACAGCAGUCCUUUGCAUGGCACUGCACAUGCUAACUGGGUACAGAGCUGCUGUUAGCACUGGAACAGCACCUGGGGAUGGGUUUGUCAUCUUGGGUGUGAACCCAGACUUAGGGUGCUUGUAACAUAAAGCUGUGCUCCAGAGUUGUUUGAGAUCCCUAUUCAGACACAGCAGCCAUGAUCUAAAUUGUGGAUGGUUUCAGUGUGCCUUGGCCAGGAUCUCAGAAAAGUUGAAUAUGCGUGUGCUUCUCUGUUUAAGACCAGGAUUAAUACGGUGCACGCUCUAAUUUAGAUUCCAGGAACGAAGUUCAAGAAUCUACGCUUGCACAGCCAGGAGGGCUAUUUGAGGCAAAAGUGAAAUUGAUUUUGGUUUAAAAGGGCUGUAAAAGAAGAUAGGAGUAAAUAUGGAGAAAAAUAAUCUAAAAUUGAUUAGAAAGCAGCUAUUACCCAGCAGGCAGUAAACCACCAAAGAUAGACCAUUGAAUAACCAUGAAAAGAAAAUGAGAAUGCUGUGGUAUAUACAAAUAAUAAUCGAACACGGCACUCCUGCAAUGAUAUUUUUUUGCUUCAAUCAGUGUGUCACUCCGACUGAAGAGUGUUUUAAGAUUAGAAACUGCUGUGAAAGACUAGAGAUGUGUGCCCUAGACCUUGGAAAAAACUUUGAAUCAGGAUUGGUAACUAUCAGGGGGAUUUAUGUCAAAGUUUACCCUAGAAACUCAGCACUGGGGACAAACUCUGGGAGUGGACUUCAAGCAGAACCUGUGGGUCAAAUUAAGUCACAGAUACCAAACUGAAGGAAAAAAAAGACAGAUUUCAUACCUGAUGCUGGCAUGGAAAAGGACAAUCUGGCUGCACACUUGCAAUAUCUGGAACAUGAAACUGUGGCAGUGGUUUUAAUUACACAGAUGGGACUUACUGAAUACACCAGUUUGGAGACUGUAGAGAGAUUCCCAAUGAAUGGCUGUAUCACAGACAUCAACUUACUGUACAAAUUUCAACUACAUUUUUACAACCAUACAGUGAACUUUGCACACCUAGAGAUGUGCUCAGGGCAUUUUUACUUCUAGUUCUCUUCAGCCCAGACUUGAUGCUGUAUGUAAGGCAUAUCUAACAUUAAUGAGAAAAUAAAAUUAUACAUUCCACUUUGUCCUUGGGAAUUUAUAGAGGUUCUAUUACCCAAUAUACCUGUGAACUCCUCAGACUUAUGGAUUAGUUCCAAGUGAGUGAAAUAAUUAAUGUCUCACCAAGCUAUAUAUGGCACAAUUAAAUAUUUUAAGAAUAAGAACCUAAGUGUUAGUUCAACCAUUCAAGUUGGUAUGAGUUCAGAUUUAGAAUAUCAUGUGCAAUCUUAAAUAUCAUUCACAAAAUUCUUGACGUGAAGUGCUUUUAGGAUAGUCCUUGUAACAGCUAGGACAUUAAGCUUAAUCUUGCACCCAGUUGUAAUAAUACCUAUGUUUCAAAUAAUUAUACUAAUGUCAACUAUUGCAUUGAUAAAUGAGAAUUACUGUUUCUUUGAGAUAAAGGUUUAUGCAAACUCUUGCUUGUGAUACUGCCUCUCUACCCAGGGGGUGGGUAUGGCUCAGUGUUAGCUUGGACCCUGUCUGGUUAGACAGUCACCUAAGGGGCAGGAACCAGAAGUGGUCCAAAAGUCAAGGUUUUUUACAUGCCUCUUCAACAGACCUUCCCACAACACUGCAGUGUAGUGCCUUAGAUGUUUUAAGUGGUCCACGUGAGCGUCUGUGACUUCUGUCUUCAGGAAAGUGAAUUCUCCAUCAGCACAAGUCAAGGACUGAACCUUUCUCAGAUACUGGGGACCUCCAUGGCAUUCCUGCUGCUGCUUUAUAGAAACGAGCCACAGGUACCUGCCAUAUGUCUUACUGCAUUGUAAUAAUUAACAUGAGUGUCACAAUCUUAAUGUGGGAUUAUAAACCUAUAUUCAUAACUGCUGUUCGUCUCCAAAAUCAGCAAUCUGGCUUGUGUCUGGAUCCAGCUCCUGCACUUCCUCUGCCCUGUGUGUGCCUAUAUUGGUCUUCUUCUGUCCAUGGAGUUAUGUCACAGAUGCAUCUAAAGCAGGGUGCUCUGCAGCUGGCACAAGCACUGUCUCACCAGAGCUCCUGCCCUACCAGGUGGAGGACAACAACUCCCAGGUGUCUGUCCCAGUGGAAGUGUGACUGUCUAUAAACCCCAUAUCUCCAGCUGGAGUUUCACCUCUCUUGUGAGCUCACAUGGAGUCACGAGCAAAUGCCCCAGACCUUUGAGAGUCACUGGUUUAGGAUGAAUGGGUACCCUCUGGUGCUCCCCACUGCCUGUUGUAGGGAAAGACACACUGAUCUCUCCUGCCCAGAAGAGGGGGGUAGUUGUCUUGCAAAUCCUUCAGUCACCCCCAGCUACACCCCUCUGCCAUGGUCAUCACCUGCUUCACCACCUCUGGCUCCUCUUCUCUUCCCUGGCUGAUCCCACUUCCACGGCUCCCACCUCUCUGCCCAUGAAGCUCAAGGACUGAUGUAGCUCUCCCACAUGGACAAGCCACUGCUGAGGAGGUGCUGAAACAAUCAAACACGGUGAGUUGGCAAGUUCUGAAAGGAGCAGGUGUCUCAUAUUGCAGAGGAAGGAGUCACAGAGAACAGAGAUCAUUAACCCUCUACAAAAGCUUAAUAUUCCAUAAAUGGCACAUGGAGAAAGUGCAAUGGUAGCUGCUCUUGAAUCCCCAGUGAAGAAAAUCUCUGCCUGGUGCAACAAGCUGCUACCUGUGCAGGGGAUGGAGCAGCAGAAAAUUGCUAAAGAUAUCAUGAAACCUGCUUUGUUGGGCUGCACUCUGGUGGGGGCUGCAGUUAUGUGACUGCACUGGGACUGCUGCUGGAAAUUGUGUUGAAAAGAUGUGGAAGCAUCCUCUGCUCAAACAGGUGAUGAAAUUCUUAUGAGUUUGGUGGAUCUUAACAUUCAUUUGUAGAUAGCAGCAUCUGUGGGGAGAGAUGGGGUUUCGUGGGGUGAGUGAGUCGGAUGACUUGGAUUUUCACGAUUUCUGCUUUCAUGUAUGCCUGCAGUGCUGUUCAUGUCCUAUGCAUAGUUUCUGUGGAAGCAACACAAUAUGCUGGACUGCUGAAGAUACAGCUGCCAAAAAAAUGGUGCAACUGAUUUAGUAUGAAACUAGGUUUACAUGUGCACUUGGCCAACAGGUGAAUGGUAAGAGACAGGACCAUCAGGUCUUUAUUUUGUUUAAAAAUGGAG